UUAAAUAGCUGCUGCUGAUAUUGGGUACCGUGAUAGUUUCUGUGCUGAUGCUAUACUUGUUCUUAGUUUUGGUUCUUGAUAAUGAGGCUUAUAAUGGGUCUUUUGAAUUUUUGGGGAUUUGGUACAGUUUUUCUCCUGCUCUGGUGUUUCGCUGCCCUUUUUUGUCAAAAAAUAAUUGAGAGAGUAGUCAAUUUUCAUUUUGUACUGGUUUAGAUGUGAUUAAGAUUGAGUUGAGUUCAGUCAAAGAUGUGUUAUCCUAGUUCUGCUUCUAAUUUGUGCUGGGUAACAUGCUUUCUUGACUUGGAUAUGUGCCACAGUGUCAUAAUGUUGACUGUGUGUGAAUAGAUUGAUUGUAUAAAUCAUGAUAUUGAUUGUAGGAUUGAUCAUAGGGAUAUUGAUAUUUUCAAAACCAUAUAUUAAAUCCAUUGCUUGAGGGAAUAAUCGAGCAAUUUAUUCCCCAAAUCUUCCCAUUCUUUCUCUAAGUUUCAGCACAUAGGAAUCAAAAUUUAACUUCUAUUUGUGGCUGUCUCAAUCCCUUAGCAUUUGCGUCAGUUUGUAAUCUCUCUCUAAUUCUUCCUACUUCUUUGCCUGCUUGCAGAAUUGCUAGAAAUAUAUGGAGGA
rnacentral:misc_RNA from 1 species